GAAACAUAACGAUGAGCUUGCCAUUAUAAAAAGCAGAGAGCGGCUCGGAUAUCGAGCCGCUCUCUGCUUUUUC
rnacentral:sRNA from 1 species